rfam:Hordeum vulgare subsp. vulgare, WGS project CAJW01000000 data, contig: morex_contig_40944
GAUAUACUCUCUCCGUUCCAAAAAAUUUGUCUUAGGUUUGUCUAGAAAUGAAUGUAUCUAAAUACUAAAAUAUGAUUAAAUACAUUCAUAUCUAGACAAAUUUAAGACAAGAAUUUUGAACGGAGAGAAUAGGAA